UUAGAAUACUCCAGAAUCCAAACUGUCGGUAAUGUAAGCGCCGGCUUUUCACAAGGAAGAAGAAUGCGUGGAAUAAAAGAGAUGAUAUCUCUGGCUCUGCAGCAUUAGUUUUAAUACAUCCUGGCUCUUUAAAUCAUAAAAAAAGAAAGUGGCGUGUACCUUCCCUUCCCCACAACAUGUUAACAUCGGUGAGGCGUUUCAAUGCUGGAGAAACCUCAGAGAUUUGAAAGAAAUGAAAACCGACACGCAGGUUGAGGUGCAGGCCGUCCUGGCUGACCCUCAGCAGGCAAUUGGCCAACAUGGGAGGGUCUUCAGCUGAUCUACUUCGCUUGGGUGUUCCAGACUAUAGGAGUUUGACCAUUUGUGUAUAUCUUAGUUUUAUUAAAUUACAUUUGUUUUAAGAAAAUCUCUUGCGUGGACUCGAUUUAUGCUUAGGAAGUUGA